UACGGAGGAUGCAAGCGUUAUCCGGAAUUAUUGGGCGUAAAGCGUCCGUAGGCGGUUUCAAAAGUCUGUUGUUAAAGCCCACAGCUCAACUGUGGAACGGCAAUGGAAACUGUGAGACUAGAGAGUGGUAGGGGUAGAGGGAAUUCCUAGUGUAGCGGUGAAAUGCGUAGAUAUUAGGAAGAACACCAAUGGCGAAGGCAGUCUACUGGGCCAUUACUGACGCUGAUGUACGAAAGCUAGGGGAGCGAAAAGG
rnacentral:rRNA from 1 species